GCAACGCGCAGAACCUUACCAGCUCUUGACAUUCGGGGUAUGGGCAGUGGAGACAUUGUCCUUCAGUUCGGCUGGCCCUAGAACAGGUGCUGCAUGGCUGUCGUCAGCUCGUGUCGUGAGAUGUUGGGUUAAGUCCCGCAACGAGCGCAACCCUCGCCCUUAGUUGCCAGCAUUCAGUUGGGCACUCUAAGGGGACUGCCGGUGAUAAGCCGAGAGGAAGGUGGGGAUGACGUCAAGUCCUCAUGGCCCUUACGGGCUGGGCUACACACGUGCUACAAUGGUGGUGACAGUGGGCAGCGAGACCGCGAGGUCGAGCUAAUCUCCAAAAGCCAUCUCAGUUCGGAUUGCACUCUGCAACUCGAGUGCAUGAAGUUGGAAUCGCUAGUAAUCGCAGAUCAGCAUGCUGCGGUCGAAUACGUUCCCGGGCCUU
rnacentral:rRNA from 1 species